CAGCCACGGGAAUACGAAGGGUGCAAGCGUUAAUCGGAAUUACUGGGCGUAAAGCGUGCGUAGGCGGUGAGUUAAGUCUGCUGUGAAAUCCCCGGGCUCAACCUGGGAAUGGCAGUGGAUACUGGACGACUAGAGUGCGGUAGAGGAUAGUGGAAUUUCCGGUGUAGCGGUGAAAUGCGUAGAGAUCGGGAGGAACAUCAGUGGCGAAGGCGGCCAUCUGGGACAACACUGACGCUGAGGCACGAAAGCGUGGGGAGCAAACAGGAUUAGAUACCCCGGUAGUCCCUGUCUCUUAUACACA
rnacentral:rRNA from 1 species